UUCUAGCCCAGAUAGAAGUGGAAAUCCUUUUUGAGGUUUUUCUCCGAAAAAAGAUUGAAACGGAUAGCUGGAAAUAGC
rnacentral:sRNA from 1 species